GGUUCUAUAGUGUAGUGGUUAUCACACGGGAUUUUGAAGAUACGGGAGGUUAGGGAUUCAGUUGACUAACCGUGUGAAAUAUUCCCGUAACCCCGGUUCGAGCCCGGGUAGGACCU